rnacentral:rRNA from 1 species
AGCAGUAGCCACGGGAAUACGAAGGGGGCUAGCGUUGUUCGGAAUUACUGGGCGUAAAGCGCACGUAGGCGGAUAUUUAAGUCAGGGGUGAAAUCCUAGAGCUCAACUCUGGAACUGCCUUUGAUACUGGGUAUCUUGAGUAUGGAAGAGGUGAGUGGAAUUCCGAGUGUAGAGGUGAAAUUCGUAGAUAUUCGGAGGAACACCAGUGGCGAAGGCGGCUCACUGGUCCAUUACUGACGCUGAGGUGCGAAAGCGUGGGGAGCAAACAGGAUUAGAUACCCGCGUAGUCCCUGUCUCUUAUAC